CGGCCAUCCACCGAGGCCAAGUGGAGAAGCCUCGGAAGAAGCUGACUCUGCCAACCCCUUGAUCUCAGGCUUCUGCAGAAUUUGCUCAGUCGUGUCCGACUCUUGCGACCGCAUGGACCGCAGCCUGCCAGGCUCCUCUGCCCUUGGGAUUCUCCAGGCAAGAAUACUGGAGUGGGUUGCCAUUUCCUUCUCCAGAAGAUUAACUGUCUUAAAACAACCAAGGUGAUGCUAGUCAGACCACUGAUGACCAAUCUGAAGAUGACUGUUAGAGAUGACUGUGCUGUUUCUGGAUGUUGCCCACCUCCGACUCUGCCUGUAAACUUUCUCACCCCUUGCUUGUUGGCCGGGGGUGAGGGGGUGG
ensembl:lncRNA